UUAUUUCGAGUUUUGCUUCGCUAGUCUCUGUCGCGCGUAAUAGCCACAAAUGCCAGCGUACCUGUUACAUAACAAAUUGUGAUAAUAUAGCCAUGCUGCCGUUCUUACGUUGUGGAUUCGGAGCGUGAUAAACAUUUCGAACUGCAGCACAAGAGGCUCAUCCACGAUCGCCGCGCGAGGAGAAAAAAAUUUGCUGCGGAAGAACUGAUCGUGCGUUUUCAUGCACUACAGUCGCUACAGUUCGAAAUGGUUAACUUGCACCAAGUCGUCCAGUGUUCGGCUUUGCGAGCAACACACUAGGAUGACUAAAGGACGUAACACUUCUGGACGGGAAUUACAUGUUCAAGAAUUGUUUUGAAAUGUACAAGGAAGAUAUUGGCAUUCUCCUUGCGCCAUCAGCUGUUCAACAUCUGCGAGCUGCAAAGGUGAACACACUUUCAUGUAAACAGGGCCACGUGCAUGCACUGGUACAAGGUUGUUCAGUUGUGCUAGAUAGAACAAAACACAAUCCUAGUCUUCAUGCACCAACCACAGAAAUGAGGGCUGAACAUCAGCUCCACAAGUGAAAGCAGGUUUCUAGCAGCCUCAUAUCAACAGUCACUCUGUUUAACUCAAUCAUAAUUGCUCAUUCCUCUGCUGUAUUUGUGCGUGCA
rnacentral:lncRNA from 1 species